rnacentral:misc_RNA from 1 species
AACCAUUCUCACCUGCGGCUAGACCUGCGGAAGGAUCAUUAUUGAUUUUUAACAGGAUGUGCUGGCUCUUCUGGAGCAUGUGCACUCCUAACAAAAACCAAUAUCCACCUGUGCACUUUUAGUAGGCAGGAAAAAAGACCUUUUUACCCAAGGGCUCUUUUCCUUGUCUAUGCUUUCUAUCACAGACACUUGAUCUAUUUGAAUGCUUAUACAACAAAAUAAUAUUUGUAAAACAACUUU